CAGCCGCGGGAAUACGUAGGGUGCAAGCGUUAAUCGGAAUUACUGGGCGUAAAGCGUGCGCAGGCGGUUAUAUAAGACAGAUGUGAAAUCCCCGGGCUCAACCUGGGAACUGCAUUUGUGACUGUAUAGCUAGAGUACGGCAGAGGGGGAUGGAAUUCCGCGUGUAGCAGUGAAAUGCGUAGAUAUGCGGAGGAACACCGAUGGCGAAGGCAAUCCCCUGGGCCUGUACUGACGCUCAUGCACGAAAGCGUGGGGAGCAAACAGGAUUAGAUACCCCGGUAGUCCCUGUCUCUUAUACACA
rnacentral:rRNA from 1 species